rnacentral:rRNA from 1 species
GCCCUUGCCCAUUUGAGGGGGAUACCAGUUGGAAACGACUGUUAAUACCGCAUAAUAUCUGUGGAUUAAAGGUGGCUUUCGGGCUGUCGCAGAUGGAUGAGCCUGCGUUGGAUUAGCUAGUUGGUGGGGUAAGGGCCCACCAAGGCUACGAUCCAUAGCUGAUUUGAGAGGAUGAUCAGCCACAUUGGGACUGAGACACGGCCCAAACUCCUACGGGAGGCAGCAGUGGGGAAUAUUGGACAAUGGGGGCAACCCUGAUCCAGCAAUGCCAUGUGUGUGAAGAAGGCCCUAGGGUUGUAAAGCACUUUAGUUGGGGAGGAAAGCCUCAAGGUUAAUAGCCUUGGGGAGGACGUUACCCAAAGAAUAAGCACCGGCUAACUCCGUGCCAGCAGCCGCGGUAAUACGGGGGGUGCAAGCGUUAAUCGGAAUUACUGGGCGUAAAGGGUCUGUAGGUGGUUUGUUAAGUCAGAUGUGAAAGCCCAGGGCUCAACCUUGGAACUGCAUUUGAUACUGGCAAACUAGAGUACGGUAGAGGAAUGGGGAAUUUCUGGUGUAGCGGUGAAAUGCGUAGAGAUCAGAAGGAACACCAAUGGCGAAGGCAACAUUCUGGACCGAUACUGACACUGAGGGACGAAAGCGUGGGGAUCAAACAGGAUUAGAUACCCUGGUAGUCCACGCUGUAAACGAUGAGUACUAGCUGUUGGAGUCGGUGUAAAGGCUCUAGUGGCGCAGCUAACGCGAUAAGUACUCCGCCUGGGGACUACGGCCGCAAGGCUAAAACUCAAAGGAAUUGACGGGGACCCGCACAAGCGGUGGAGCAUGUGGUUUAAUUCGAUGCAACGCGAAGAACCUUACCUGGUCUUGACAUCCUGCGAACUUUCUAGAGAUAGAUUGGUGCCUUCGGGAACGCAGUGACAGGUGCUGCACGGCUGUCGUCAGCUCGUGUUGUGAAAUGUUGGGUUAAGUCCCGCAACGAGCGCAACCCCUAUUGAUAGUUACCAUCAUUAAGUUGGGUACUCUAUUGAGACUGCCGCUGACAAGGCGGAGGAAGGUGGGGACGACGUCAAGUCAUCAUGGCCCUUACGACCAGGGCUACACACGUGCUACAAUGGGUAUUACAGAGGGCUGCGAAGGUGCGAGCUGGAGCGAAACUCAAA